rnacentral:rRNA from 1 species
GUCAGCAGCCAUAUCACUCUGCAUCUCACAACUGGCAACCCACUGAAGCUCAGCAGGUGUGAGCCUGGUCAGUACCUGGAUGGGAGACCUCCUGGGAAAAACUAAGGUUGCUGCUGGAA